rnacentral:rRNA from 1 species
AUUGAACGCUGGCGGCAUGCUUUACACAUGCAAGUCGAACGGCAGCGCGGGCUUCGGCCUGGCGGCGAGUGGCGAACGGGUGAGUAAUACAUCGGAACGUGCCCAGUAGUGGGGGAUAGCUCGGCGAAAGCCGGAUUAAUACCGCAUACGACCUGAGGGUGAAAGCGGGGGAUCUUUGGACCUCGCGCUAUUUGAGCGGCCGAUGGCAGAUUAGCUAGUUGGUGGGGUAAAGGCCUACCAAGGCGACGAUCUGUAGCUGGUCUGAGAGGGCGACCAGCCACACUGGGACUGAGACACGGCCCAGACUCCUACGGGAGGCAGCAGUGGGGAAUGUUGGACAAUGGGCGAAAGCCUGAUCCAGCAAUGCCGCGUGUGUGAUGAAGGCCUUCGGGUUGUAAAGCACUUUUGGCGGGAACGAAAAGGACUGUGCCAAUACCACGGUUCGAUGACGGUACCCGCAGAAUAAGCACCGGCUAACUACGUG